CAGUGACAGGAGCAACCACAGCUAACAUUACCACAAUGCAUUCAUCUACAACCGAAGGUCACAGUAGCUCAUCAACUGUGCCAUUAACAACGAGCCAUGUUACUGUGCAAAAUACAGCAGCAAUGGUGGAAACCACAGCUACAUCUUUUAACACAAGCACAACGAUCGCAACAACAACAUUUAUGACGGAAUUCCAUAGCACUAAUAAUCGAACUCUGGAAACCACACCAUACACAUCCACUGAAAACAAGACUUCGUUUGAAACAACCACAAGCUUCACAUCCACUCAAAACACAAAUUCUUUUGAAACAACCACAAGCUUAACAUCAACCGAAAACAUGACUUCUUUUGAAGCAAAUGCAAACUUCACAUCCACUGGAAAGACAACAUCUUUUGAAACAAAUGUAAACUUCACAUCCACUGAAAACACAACAUCUUUUGAAACAAAUGUAAACUUCACAACAUUUACAGCAGCGACCGAACCAUCAUCCUCCGACAAUAUAACUGAUUCAACACCACUGCUGACAACCGUUAGCCAAACAUUAACACCAUCUGUUUUUUACUGGAUGACUAUAUCAUAUGAGGUAACAGUAGGACAGCAAAGUGAAGAAAAUCUCAAAACAAUGUUUGAGUGGUUGUUCAUGGGCAACUUAGACGCAUGUGCAGUUUCCAGUGAUAGCUCCCUAUCGGUGAUGUCACAGUCAAGAGACAGCAUAUUUCUCAACAGGUUUUAUGAUGUGCUCACCAGGUGAUGUAAACUGUGGUGACCGUAGUGAUAAUUGCAUUUAUGAAUGUUCAUAGUUGAGGCCUUUUGUACAUAUUAGUACUUUAAAACCUAAUAAUAUCUGUGCUUUGGAAAGUUGUGUAGUAAAAUAGGCUUGCCUUUUGUC